rnacentral:lncRNA from 1 species
GCCCCCUAUCCAACUCACUUGACCAGACACACUCAGGAGAACAAGAUGUUCUGCUGUUGUGUCCUGAAUUGCAGAGGCACUGGGCUGGCGAAAGCCCAGAGUGAAAGGCUCUUCUGUUGCUGUAGACAUUGGCUCAGCCCUCAUCCCUGAUACCACUGGCCAUUUGGCAGGAGGUACCCAAAGGUAACACAGGGCAGACCAGGGCAAGCCAAUGUGGGACAGGCCACAUUAUGAUCCCAGUGGAGCAGCCCCACACCCCGUGCCCCUCAUCGUGUGUGUGUGUGUGUGUGUGUGUGUUUGUGUGUGUGUGAGUGGAGGAGGGAAAGCAAGGGAUGAAUGGCAUGCUCUUCUUGGGCAGGAGCAGGUUGUUAGGUAUUGGAGGCCUGGUGGACCUGUUGUGUUCAUACCCCAGGUCAUGGCUGACAGCAUAAGGUGAGCCCCUCUACUCAUAUGUGACCCAAGUCAUAUUAUUCCCUCCCUGACUAGAGUUCUUUGCAGAUGCCACUCUGUGCCUGAACUAGGAAACAGAAAUUCUCAUGGGGUUGCCCCCCCUGUGACAAUAUCCAGGCAGGCCUCGAUGCCUCCUAGCCUCUCUAUUGAGCAGUAUUUUUGCAAAAUUCCACUCAGACAUCAUCAAGGAGCUGUCCAAUGGGUCCAACUGCUCUAACUCCCUAGACAACGAUCAGGUGCACCAGGCCUCCAACACCAUCCACUGGUCUGAGGUGAAAAUGGGUGGAGAGGGAUCUCCAUACCCAAGACCCUGAGAUGAUCAGGGUGGCCCAGAAUUCUGACUCAAAGCUAGGGACUCCCCUGGGGCCCUCCCAGACCUUUCCAACAUGAGUGUCCCACAUGCCAGAUCCCAAAGGAAUCUGGACCUCCACAUGUAACUCACCCACUACAUGGUAGAGUAGAAAUAUACUCCUCACUUUCUUGUUGGAAUGGUAGAGAAAAUAUUUAAUGUUGCUUUCACUUUUCACAAGGCCGCUUUUUAAGAGCAUCAGCAUUUUGCCACUGUUUUGAUUUUUUUAAUGACUCACUCCAGGUAUCCUGUGGAACAAUCAGCUCCACUGUCCUUGCAGAGCUUCUCCAAGCCUUACAAAUCAUCACACUUCAGAGGGUGACUUCUACACAAAGGAGGGGCGUGGGAUUACUUGAUUCUAUACAUUUCUCUGCAACUUGUCACCUCACAGAACACAUCUAAUCAUUGUAGGUCUGUCAGAUCAGGAGCUGUGGCUUUAUGUGACUUCACAAUAUCUCAUAAAGGAAGUCAUUUGCCACAGCAAUUCAACCUUUCAAUGUUGUUGGACCUUGACAUGAUUCAAUUCUGUUGCCAUUUCAGCAGUGCUGCAGGGAACAUCUGAAGUGUGUCCUCAUAGCCUGUUAGUUUACUAGGUCUGCCAUAACAUAGAACCACCAAUUGGGUGGAAAGUCCCUGAUGCUUACUGGCCCAGCACCAGGCUCUGUCUUAGUAGAGCUCCACCCAGGACAUCGUCGAGGAGCCGAUUGAUGGCUUCAACUACUCCACCUCCCUAGACAAGGGGCAGAUGCAUCUGGCAACCAACAACAGCCAACCGUGAUCUUGGGUAAGUAGGGGCACACAGGGGUCUCCACAUCCAGGACUCCCAGGUGACUGGGGUGGACCCAGAACCCAGACUGGAAUCUGGUGACAGCCCUGGGAUCCUCCCAGGAAUGCAGUUUCCCCAGAGCCUUCCCCUCCAUGUCAGGAGCAGACCAAGCCUCCGGUUGAGAGGGAAUGUCAUGUAGCCCAUGCUAUGGACAGUCCUAGGUUCUGACCUGCGUGAUCUGGAGCAGCCACUUAAAAUCUCUAACCCUCUGUUUUCCAAUAUCUACAGUGGGGAAGUUUGUUGAUGAUUCACUGGGAUAAUGCACUUAACACAGGCUAUUAAUACUGGGACGUGCUAUUGUUUCUCAGCUCAAAAAAUGCCUGGAAGGUACCAGUUGUUUAUCAUUCUCCCCAAAAUCAAAUGAUGCUGUUAAAGCCUAGAACCUUUUUCUGUGUGGGCUCUCAUGUCCCUCCUCUUGCCCAAGUUCCUGAGGUGAUGAGAGCUUCUGGUCUGAACUCCAAACCCUGAUCUUCCUGGUGGCUCACGGUGAUGCCACUAACUAUAUGUCCCUCCUUGUCCACUCGGUGUGAAAAGGAGUCAACUCUGGCACAGGAUGAGACCUGCACAACGCAGACCCCCAAGACAAGGCAUAACAGAGAAGCUAGCAGAGGCCCUGGUACCAGCCUUCCUGGAUGGAAACAUCUCCUACAUCACCACCUUCUCAUCCACGUACCAUUGCCACCUUCACCACCACCCAACAGGUCCUGGACCAGCUGUUCCACAGGUCCUGUCCACCAUACAUCCCACAUGAUGCCCUUGUAGCCUCUUCAACAUUUGGAGGCAUCUUCCCAUAUUCUGACCAGGAUGACAGACCAUGGACCACCUGAAAAAGUGAGCGGUGUUUGGGUCCAGAAGGAAGACCUUCUGUUUCUACAGAACAAGGUAGGGGGAGUGUACGGGGGCUAUGGCUGGGGUGGACCUAGCAGAAACCUGCUCUCAUCUUUUGAUUCCCAUGAGAGGUUUGAGGUUUGAUGGCUUCCAUUCCAGGAGGACAGGAGUCAAAGAGAAUUGUGGAUGGGUUCCCAGUCCAUCAGGAACCAGGGAGGAGGUUGGGCUGGGUUGUCUCCUAGAGACCCAUCCCCACUACAGUCGCAUCUCGAUCUUCCUCCCCUUCUCCACAUCCACCUCUUUGACCACCACCACCAGGUCCAGAACAGAAGGUGUGUGAGCAACCUGCUCACAAAUCUGCCUGAGUCCUCAGUCCAGUUGCCCAAGUGCAUGGAGGGCUGAGGUGGGCCUUCUCCAGGCCCUUCGGGAGAAGAGUGUCAGUGGGAGAAGAGACUCACACAGACUCUGUGUUCAACCUGCUGGAUGAACAGGCCUGCCACUGCCAGGACAGCCACACAGGGGUCGGGGCUGAGAUGGGGCUCUCUCCUAGAUGGGAAGGGGCAGGCAUAGGGGCCCAGACCCAAACAAGUGUGCCUUGGGAGGACCGUGUGGAAGGAAAGGCCAGGCCUCUGACUCGGCAGCCCAACUGCCUUCCCCCAGUGCUAUCCUUUCUAUGGUGGGAACCUGGCUGAACCAAGUGCAGGAUUUCUGGGAACCCCUGCACUUUCCCUAUUUCAAGCUGAAGCUGGCCUAUGUGUGUGUCAAUUUGCCUGGCUUGGACCUGGAGAGCCAUGCUGACCUUCUCUGGGUUCAGCUAGGGCAUCUGGAGCCUACUGAGGCAGAGCUGGAAGGAGAGAGGACUGCAGUCUGGGAAGACUAUCUGUGCUGUGGUGCAGGAGCUGCAGUUCCCUUAAAGGCAGUGGAGUCUGUCUCUUUGGAAAGGCACAAGGAAAGUCAGGUAUGUGGGUGAAACUUCUCUUUAUCCCACUCCAGUGCCAGCUCCAGAGCUCCCGCCAGCUCCAGAGCCAGAGGAAGGCCCAGCUCCUGGGUUAAAGCCAGCUCCAGCUCUAGUUUCCCCACCUGUACUAGAGCUGGAGUGAGCAGGGCCUCCAUCAGCCCCUCCUGGGCUAGAGCAAGCACCACCAUUAAAUUCAGCCCCAGUGCCAGCUCCUGAGCUGGAGCCAGAUGGACAAUGGACUCUCCUGUGACUUACACCUCCAGCUGCAGAAAUAACAAGAGAGCCAGAUCCAGCCCCGGAGCCCACCUGCUUCUGGGCUGUGACCACCAAGAAACUGCUGAGGGAGGAAAAGCCUAACCUCUUGAAGUUCCCUCCCCAGCUGGUGGCAGAGCAGCUGACGAGGAUGGAUGUGGUGCACAGUGGGGCUCUCAGGGCAGGUGGGGCCUGCCUUCCCUGUGCCGUCAGCUGCCUCGGACCUGCCAUUCCCUGAUCCAGAAUCCAAUGAUCUGGGUCCAAAUCCCAGCUCCUCCACUUACCAACCCUAGGACCUGGGCAGCUUUCUUAACCCCCAAGCCUUUGCUGUCCCUACGUGGACAGUAGAGAUGGACACUAUGAGCACCUGCUGCAGAGUGGCUGUGCAGAUGAAUGAGGUACAACAGAGAGGGAGUUGGGCAGUCUGGCCCUUUGGUCGGGGAGGGGAGCUCACUGAAGUACUGCCAGAUCCUUGGGUCCAUCACCCAUUUGCCCAGGAGGCCUCAACAGCCUCGGCAUUUAUUAGGCACCUGAUAUGUACUUUCCUACAUGGAAGACAAACAAACAAAGCCCAUGGUUGUUGCUGCCUCGGGGGAAUGUGUAUCUGAAUGGGGAGUCAGACAAGAGGGUGAUCAGAAUGGGUGGAAGAUGCCCCUUGACACGGGCAGGUGUGAGCUGUUCUGGUCGUUGGAGGAAGUGAGACUGGGCUGGGAGCAAAUGCCUCUUCCCAUCCCCACAGUGUUGUGUCCUGGGUCAUCCUGUGCUGGGUACCCUCAGUGGACAGAGGCAAAAUCCAGGGACUCCCACAAGCCUCAGGCCACAUCCUCAGCUUCCUGAGCUCCAGCUCUGACCACUUACCCUGCCUGGGACUGUGGGAAAACUCUGGAUGCUGAGCUUGGGUGUGGCAGGGCCGGGAGACACUCCCCAAUCUCCUCAGGAACCAUUCAAGAAGGCAGUGCCCUGCCAUUACCUGCACAUCAUCUGGUUCUGGCAGGAUGUCAGGGAAAAUGAGUACUUGGCACCCACCAUCCAUGCCACCCUACACACUUCAUCACUGUGGCCAACUGCAUCAUCACCACUGGCCUCAGGGACCCGAGCAUGAUGACCCAGGACACGGGCAGGGUGGUGGAGCUCUGGAUGCAGAUGGCCAAGAUAAGUCAUGGGAGGCCAGGAAGGCCCUCUCCGCCUCUUCUGCUUUCUCAACUCUCAGGAUUGAAUCUGUGGUCUGAGCCCCUGCACAGUCCCUAGGCCCCUCCUGCCAAGGCCACACUGACCUUGACUCCUGGUCCCAGUGGUGGCAAGCUCACUUCCCUCCUGGGCUUCCUCCUUGGGUUGAGCUAUCCCUGGGAGUGUUACUCAUCAGGUCCCAGGUUUGCCCUCCCUGGGUUCCUUGGGCAUCUGUCUCAUUGAGGACAGGAGAUGUCCACGAGGGGACAGAGGCCAGAGGAAGCAGGGCACUAGCUCCCCCUCACAGCUCACUCUCUUCCCUUCCCCAGGUGUGCUGAGUCCUAAGGAGUUUCUCCUCACUGCAUGCCAUCGUCUCUGCUCUGCAGAACCCCUCGAUUCAUGGUCUGAAGAAGACAGGUUUCCAGGAGGCAACCUCCAUGAUGAUCACCCUGCAGAUCGGCCCCCCAGGGAGCCCAGGAGGGUACCUGUGGGGGAGGGGCCCAGGAGUCAGAGGAGAGGGGGCUCCCCCCCUCUAAGCUGCAGGUGUCCACCAGGAGAGGGGCCUUCCUCCGCCAGCCCAGCUCCUGGUGCCACAGAGCCUGAAAGGCCUGCAUUUGAAGUGACCAAGAGGAGGUUUGGAAGGGCUGGGUGCAGGAUGGAUUUGGGGUGGGGAGGGGCAGGGACCAUAUACCCUGGGAUUUGCCAAAAGCCAGCCCUGGGAGGUGAGCGGCGUGGUGCCUCUGGAGGGGAGAGGAGGGGGAAUUGGGGAGAGGCUGCUAAAGGUCCUGCAGUGCUCUAAGUGGGAGCCUGGGGUGGCCAGGAGGCUUGAGUGAGGGAUUUUAGAGGAGGGUCUUUGGGGUCCCCUGAGAGCAGAGGCUCAUCACCACCCCCACCGCAAUGGCACAGGGUGUUGCCCCCUUCCUUGGCACAUAAUUCAGUUACCUGCAGUUGCUGGAAAAUGUGAUGGAGGAUUAUCUGGAGAUGAGUGAGCCUGGAGGUGGGGCCAGGAGAUGAGGAUCCUGAGGUUUGGGAGGAGAGAGCCCCACAGUGAGCCCUGAGCUCUCAGCACUUGGCAAACCUCCUCUCACGAAAGCCUCACAGCCACCCCUGGGAGCCGGGGCCUCAGGACCAUCUUAGCAAUGAAUGAACUGAGGACCCACAUAAGCUGCCAUCCAGCUUCUCUGGGCUGGUGAAGCUCAGAGCUGCCUGACUGCAGAGCUGCAGGAGGUUGUGCCUGAGCUGGACUCAGCCUCUCCCUCAGGCUCUGUUCAUGGAGGGAGUGAAGUCAGGCCCCUCCAAGUCAGGAAAUAUAUCAAUGGUUGAGCUGUCCCUUCCUGCCUGAGGCCUCAGUCUCCCCAUCUGUCAUCAGAGAGGGUUGGGUUACAAGGUCUCUGGCCUCGGCUCCCCUGUCCCCCCUGCUGUGGAGCCCAGAGGCUGGCGCAGGUCCCAGUCCUAUUUCCAGAAGUGCCUGCCCCCAAGCAGUAGUGCAACAUGAGAAGAGGUGGGGAUGGGGGCUAGUUAUGGGCUAAGUGAGCUGUUUCUCAUGGACUUUGGCUGUCUGCCUUCCAGAACAAUGUAAUCAACUUCCAGAAAUGUGAUGAGGUAAGCAGCUGUGGCCUCACUGUGGGACAGUGGGGGUGUGGAAAUCAGAGACCCUCUUGGACAAGACCCUCUCUGGACCCAUCCCUUGGGUCUUAUAUUUAUUGAGAGAGUUAGAUACACAGGGCUGGGGAUCCCAUCACAUUGGCGGGUGGGGGAAGGGGCUGGCAUCAAGGACAUUUUCCUGAGGAGGAACUAUUUCAACCCAAGGAUGAGAACAGGCAAGUCCUGGAUGGAAUUGGGGGGAAGGAGGGUUCCCAAGUGGGCAAAGACCCCAGACUGGUUCCCUGCCCCUCUCCUCACUCCCUACAAGACCCCUGCAGGAUCCCCUACCAGCAGGCCCUGUCUGCAUCCUGUCCUUCCUGUGUCCCAGCAAUUGAAAGUAACUGAAGACAUCUUGCUACUCCAGGAGACUGAGAAUCAUUACAACCUUGAGCCCCAGGAGCAAUUUGGGUCCUGGUUUCAGCCCACGGAGCCCCUUAGUGAGGAUAAGAGCUACAGCCUUGUCCUGCCAGCUGGAGCCCCCAUUCCAGUGGGCCAGCAAGAUUUGACUGUUCUUCAAGGCCAAGAAGAACCCUCCAUUUCAAGCUCAGGUCACCAGGUCCUCAGCACAGAGCAUGGACAAGAGGCAGACAACACUCCUGAGACCAGAUCAAGUGGAGCCUCUUCCUCGGCAGUGGGGAGACAGCUGAGACACUCAGGGUGCACUGGGCCAGCUUCCACCCUGAUGGGAAGGAGAACAUUGUAAGCCUUUUCCUUGGAUCCCUGAAGCCCGAGAGACAGAGGACGACCUGCCCCAACUCCCUGACAUCUGCACCCCAGCACCUAUUUACUCAUUGGGGAGGGGCAAUACUUACUUGUUGUUAGCAGUAAAUAUUAGAUUUGAAUAUUAUAUUAAAAUCCCG